CCGGCCGCUGAUUGGGUUGGCCUGGUAAAGGCCUUCAGCUCAGGCCGGCUGGGCGCCGAGAGGAGGGUGGACCGAAGGAAGCUGCUUUAAUGGCUAGGCCUACUUGGUACCAGACUCUUGGUUGGAAAGGACCUUGAAGACCAUGCCGUUCAACUUCCAGUUUGCAGAUGUGGAAACUGAAGGCCAGAGAGGGUAUGCGACUUGUCCAAGGUUACUCAGCCAGUUAGUGGCCUGGUUGGGACUGGACUCAAGCACUCCAGACUACCGUGGCUUUUACACGCAGCACCUCCAAGGAGGUGAAUGCAAAAGCAGUCCCUUUGGACAUAUGCAUAGUUUGAGGCCUGUGCUGUUGUGAGACGUAACACGUGGGGUGGACACUUGGAUUCCCCUUAAACCCUCAUCCGUAAGCUCUCGGGUACUUGAAGGAAUAGAAAUGUUUCACCCUGGAAGGUACCUUUUCUAUAAAGGCACAACCGUGUACCAGAGAAAAUGUGUGUACAGCCCUAAAAGAUCGCCUUUUUUUAGUUAUAAGCCCUGAGACAAACUAAUGAAAGCCUUUCCUUAGCAAAAUGUGCAUAAGGAAAAUGUGCAUACAAUUUCUGGACUUUCCUUUAGAUUGGGAAUGGGCUCCAGGUGAAGAAGUUGCUGAAUGGUUACAUUUUCACCAUAUUGACCUAGGGUUAAUAGAAUGUAGCUAGCUUACAGAUCUCUUCUCUACACUAGCUCGAGCUUCUGAAAUAAUUGCCCUACUCUCGCCAUACUGGGAAAACCUAAGAGCAACUCUGGCCUUGCUAAGAAGUUCCAACUAAAAAUUAGGAAAGGCUGGCCAGCUACCUUUAAUCCUUGAAAGAAAA